UACGUAGGUGGCAAGCGUUGUCCGGAUUUACUGGGCGUAAAGAGCGCGCAGGCGGUCGUUCAAGUCGCGUGUGAAAGCUCCCGGCUCAACUGGGAGAGGUCCUUGGAUACUGGCGGACUUGAGGGAGGCAGAGGAAAGUGGAAUUCCCGGUGUAGUGGUGAUAUGCGUAGAUAUCGGGAGGAACACCAGUGGCGAAGGCGGCUUUCUGGGCCUUACCUGACGCUGAGACGCGAAAGCGUGGGGAGCGAACCGG
rnacentral:rRNA from 1 species